CGAUUCUUCUGGGGCCCAGCCAGAAGCUGGAACUCACGGUCGUUGGCUCCUUGAUCCCCAGGUGGUCCUGCCAUCAUGGCUGUCCUCUGCAAAGGUCUCCUCGCUCAUUGAGAGAAUCUCUGACCCCAAGGACUUGAAAAAACUGCUCAGAACCCGGAAUAAUGUACUGGUGCUUUACUCCAAAUCUGAGGCGGCAGCUGAAAAUCAUCUCAGGUUACUGUCCACAGUGGCCCAGGUGGUGAAAGGACAAGGCACCAUCUGCUGGGUGGACUGUGGUGAUGCAGAGAGUAGGAAAUUGUGCAAGAAAAUGAAAGUUGACCUGAGCCCGAAGGACAAAAAGGUCGAAUUAUUCCAUUACCAGGAUGGUGCAUUUCAUACUGAAUAUAACCGAGCUGUGACAUUUAAGUCCAUAGUGGCCUUUUUGAAGGAUCCAAAAGGGCCCCCACUGUGGGAGGAAGAUCCUGGAGCCAAAGAUGUUGUCCACCUUGACAGUGAAAAGGACUUCAGACGGCUCCUGAAGAAGGAAGAGAAGCCGCUCCUGAUCAUGUUUUAUGCCCCCUGUG
rnacentral:sRNA from 1 species